GACGAACGCUGGCGGCGUGCUUAACACAUGCAAGUCGAACGGAAAGGCCCUGCUUGCAGGGUACUCGAGUGGCGAACGGGUGAGUAACACGUGGGUGAUCUGCCCUGCACUUCGGGAUAAGCCUGGGAAACUGGGUCUAAUACCGGAUAGGAGCCAUUUUUAGUGUGAUGGUUGGAAAGUUUUUUCGGUGUAGGAUGAGCUCGCGGCCUAUCAGCUUGUUGGUGGGGUAAUGGCCUACCAAGGCGGCGACGGGUAGCCGGCCUGAGAGGGUGGACGGCCACAGUGGGACUGAGAUACGGCCCAGACUCCUACGGGAGGCAGCAGUGGGGAAUAUUGCACAAUGGGCGCAAGCCUGAUGCAGCGACGCCGCGUGGGGGAGGACGGCCUUCGGGUUGUAAACUCCUUUCGCUAGGGACGAAGCUUUUUGUGACGGUACCUAGAUAAGAAGCACCGGCUAACUACGUG
rnacentral:rRNA from 1 species